ACAGGGAUUGCCUCAGUAGCGGCGAGUGAAGCGGCAAAAGCUCAAAUUUGAAAUCUGGCGUCUUUGGCGUCCGAGUUGUAAUUUGAAGAAGGUAUCUUUGGGCCCGGCUCUUGUCUAUGUUCCUUGGAACAGGACGUCACAGAGGGUGAGAAUCCCGUGCGAUGAGAUGACCCGGGUCUGUGUAAAGUUCCUUCGACGAGUCGAGUUGUUUGGGAAUGCAGCUCUAAGUGGGUGGUAAAUUCCAUCUAAAGCUAAAUAUUGGCGAGAGACCGAUAGCGAACAAGUACAGUGAUGGAAAGAUGAAAAGAACUUUGAAAAGAGAGUGAAAAAGUACGUGAAAUUGUUGAAAGGGAAGGGCUUGAGAUCAGACUUGGUAUUUUGCAUGCUGCUCUCUCGGGGGCGGCCGCUGCGGUUUACCGGGCCAGCAUCGGUUUGGAGCGGCAGGAUAAUGGCGGAGGAAUGUGGCACGGCUUCUGCUGUGUGUUAUAGCCUCUGACGAUGCUGCCAGCCUAGACCGAGGACUGCGGUUUUUAACCUAGGAUGUUGGCAUAAUGAUCUUAAGUCGCCCGUCUUGAAACACGGACCAAGGAGUCUAACGUCUAUGCGAGUGUUUGGGUGUAAAACCCGUACGCGUAAUGAAAGUGAACGAAGGUGGGGGCCCAUUAGGGUGCACCAUCGACCGAUCCUGAUGUGUUCGGAUGGAUUUGAGUAAGAGCAUAGCUGUUGGGACCCGAAAGAUGGUGAACUAUGCCUGAAUAGGGUGAAGCCAGAGGAAACUCUGGUGGAGGCUCGUAGCGGUUCUGACGUGCAAAUCGAUCGUCGAAUUUGGG
rnacentral:rRNA from 1 species